rnacentral:rRNA from 1 species
UGGGGAAUCUUGCGCAAUGGGAGAAAUCCUGACGCAGCAACGCCGCGUGGGUGAUGAAGGUCUUCGGAUCGUAAAGCCCUGUCGGAGGGGAAGAUGCUUGGUAUGGCUAACAUCCAUAUCAGGUGACGGUACCCUCAAAGGAAGCACCGGCUAACUCUGUGCCAGCAGCCGCGGUAAUACAGAGGGUGCAAGCGUUGUUCGGAAUUAUUGGGCGUAAAGGGAGUGUAGGCGGCUUGUUAAGUCUUCUGUGAAAGCUACGGGCUCAGCCUGUAAAGUGCAGAGGAAACUGGCGAGCUUGAGUGUCGGAGAGGAUAGCGGAAUACCCGGUGUAGAGGUGAAAUUCGUAGAGAUCGGGAGGAACACCAGUGGCGAAGGCGCCUACCUGGCUGACAACUGACGCUGAGACUCGAAAGCAUGGGGAGCAAACAGGAUUAGAUACCCCCGUAGUCC